rnacentral:lncRNA from 1 species
CCGAAAGGCCCACAGCCUUUCAACCUAGGGCCCAACUAGCCCUAGAGUCUCCAUGAAGCCCUCAUGAAUGAUGGACCUUGACCUUAGCCUUGGUCCCUUGGGCCUUGGGCACACCACCUGGAUCAUAACAAUCUCCACCUUAGUGUCCCAAGGCCUCAACCAGCUCCACUCUGUCCUUGCGACUGUAGACCCAUUUGCAGCCAAUGGGCCUCUUCCCCUGUGGCAACUGCACCA